rnacentral:rRNA from 1 species
UGAGGUGCGAAAGCGUGGGUAGCAAACAGGAUUAGAUACCCUGGUAGUCCACGCCGUAAACGAUGUCGACCAGCCGUUGGGUGCCUAGCGCACUUUGUGGCGAAGUUAACGCGAUAAGUCGACCGCCUGGGGAGUACGGCCGCAAGGUUAAAACUCAAAUGAAUUGACGGGGGCCCGCACAAGCGGUGGAGCAUGUGGUUUAAUUCGAUGCAACGCGAAGAACCUUACCUACUCUUGACAUCCUGCGAACUUGUGAGAGAUCACUUGGUGCCUUCGGGAGCGCAGAGACAGGUGCUGCAUGGCUGUCGUCAGCUCGUGUUGUGAAAUGUUGGGUUAAGUCCCGUAACGAGCGCAACCCUUGUCCUUAUUUGCCAGCGGGUAAUGCCGGGAACUCUAAGGAGACUGCCGGUGACAAACCGGAGGAAGGUGGGGACGACGUCAAGUCAUCAUGGCCCUUACGAGUAGGGCUACACACGUGCUACAAUGGCCGGUACAAAGGGUUGCGAGCUCGCGAGAGUCAGCUAAUCCCGAAAAGCCGGUCUCAGUCCGGAUCGGAGUCUGCAACUCGACUCCGUGAAGUCGGAAUCGCUAGUAAUCGUGAAUCAGAAUGUCACGGUGAAUACGUUCCCGGGCCUUGUACACACCGCCCGU